rnacentral:rRNA from 1 species
AGCGAACGCUGGCGGCAGGCCUAACACAUGCAAGUCGAACGAACUCUUCGGAGUUAGUGGCGGACGGGUGAGUAACACGUGGGAACGUGCCUUUAGGUUCGGAAUAACUCAGGGAAACUUGUGCUAAUACCGAAUGUGCCCUUCGGGGGAAAGAUUUAUCGCCUUUGGAGCGGCCCGCGUCUGAUUAGCUGGUUGGUGAGGUAAAGGCUCACCAAGGCGACGAUCAGUAGCUGGUCUGAGAGGAUGAUCAGCCACAUUGGGACUGAGACACGGCCCAAACUCCUACGGGAGGCAGCAGUGGGGAAUCUUGCGCAAUGGGCGAAAGCCUGACGCAGCCAUGCCGCGUGAAUGAUGAAGGUCUUAGGAUUGUAAAAUUCUUUCACCGGGGACGAUAAUGACGGUACCCGGAGAAGAAGCCCCGGCUAACUUCGUG